GCAUGCGACUCCGGAGCCGCGGUUUGCCGACCCCUGAUCUAGACUAAUAAUGGGAUGUCUUGCUGGCCGAGUGAUAUUUUCAGCUUCCUUUUUCUUUCUACUGUCUCUGGCUUAUUGGGUUCACCUGACACGCUCAAUGUGACUGUGGUGACGUGAAGCAUGACGUGUGUAUAACAUUGCAGAUGUCUGAGGUGGUGGCCUGCCUGUUAGAUGGCCUUUGCAAGGCAGGCAAUGACGGCGUCCUGGAACUGAAGGGGGCCAGACGAGCGUGGAUCCCGGAGGUGGUGGUGGGCUCACGAGCGGAGUCCCCCGUUUCUCUGCCGCCGCCGCAAUUCAACCCACACACGGAGAGCACUUCGCUGUGAGCGGGAUGAUCAUCUGGGCGCUACACGCACAAGGCGGCGGCCAAUGCGAGGUUCGACUCGACUCCUUUGUGACUCUUGUAUGACAAUCCGCUACAAGUCUGACCGCAAACUUGAUCAAAAGUAUUUUUUUUCUAGAAUCUAUUUAACGCACGACCAGAUUAUAAA